rnacentral:misc_RNA from 1 species
UUAAGUUCAGCGGGUACUCCUACCUGAUCCGAGGUCAACCUUGGAAGAAUUGACCUUCAGAGGCUAUGGCCCCGGCCGGACCCCUCCUUGAGCGCGUGACAGAGCCCCAUACGCUCGAGGACCGGACGCGACGCCGCCGCUGCCUUUCAGGCCCGUCCCCUCCAAACGAGGGGACGGCGGCCCAACACACAAGCCGUGCU